UCUCUGACAAACAAAUAAAUGAAAUCUUAAAAAAAAAAAAAAAAAAGCAUGUAGAUUUUGGAAAGACUUUGCCUUCCUUGAUCUCUGCCAAGGUCUGUGUGCUUACACCAGUUGUUUGGAAAGCACCCAAUAGGAGAUUUUCAAAGAGUAAAUGGCAGGUCAAGUUCAGAACACGUGACUUCCUCACUAAUUAUAUUUAAAGAGCAUACAGUAGAAGUUAAGAUUCCCCACAAGACACUGAAGAAAACCUGAGUUCACAAUCCUCAAAGAAAAAACAUCGAAAGGAAAAUGAUGUUCAAGCUAUCAUUCAUCAGCCUGUUCCUCCUGUUUGUCACUAACACUUCGGGGAUAACUACAGAACUGAUGACCUCUGGGUCUACGACAGACUCAAGUCCCAGGAAGAGCCUGAAUUCCAUGACAACCCCAAGUUUCAAGACAACUCUGAAUGCCAACACAAAUUUGAGUUUCAAGACAACUUUAAAUCUCCAUACAACCUCAAAAUCCAAGACAACUUCAAACCUCCCGAUGAUCUCAAAUAUGAAGAUGAUCUCAAAUGCCAAGACAACUCAGUUAACAACAGUGAGCCCAAAGAUAGUCAUGACCAGAAAUGGAAAUACUAUGAAAAGUGGUAGCACAACACUGAAUCCAAUGGUCAACAUUCACUUUCUUCUCUAUAUACUAUGCUUGCUGUUCUGUGUGUGCUCAGGCUGAAGUGGACUUGAAUGGUCUGCACUCCUAGCUCAGUUCAUUACUAUCUGCUCAAUUACAACAAGCACGCUAAGAAAAUCAAAUUUAUUUCAGCUUAUUUCUUAGGAAGUUAUCAUUAUUCUAGCUUAAUUAAGUUGUAAAUUUUCAUUGUGUAAGUUUAAUAAUUACCUCAAUAUAAUGCUUUCCUUCCUUAUAAAUGCCAAAACAAGCAAAAUACUACACAUUUGCCUUUUAAAUGUUUGCAAAAUUGAACAGAAACUCAGAUUUUUACAUUAAAAGUUUAAGAAAUUAUGUUGGUGAUGUUUAACCAAAGUACACCUAUGUGUGAGAGAGGGGGAUAGGAGAUGGGGAAUGAAGACUGGCGUGUGUUAUGUUUGUACUGCUUUAUUUUUUAUUAAAUAGCAAAUGCUAAUCUUU